ensembl:lncRNA
CGCUGUCCUUUUCUAGGGCUGAAAGACUCUGGGUGUCCAGAGAAAUGUCAGGAUGGAGCCGGCUGCUUAUCUCCUCUCCGCAGCCAGAGCAGCACAAUGCGGCCCCAGACCAGGCCCGCCUCUUAGAGGGGCCUGUCCUCUAAGGUACCUGGGGGUUAUCAACUGUGUUAUGCGGUCGAUAAAGCAAGGUGCUGGAGAUACAGCCAAGAAGGAACAGUAUUUCCCUUUUCUUGAUAUCUGCAUGGUGUUGGUCUAAGUGAUAUGAUUAAGGCUGGUUGCCAUCAGAGUAGCCAGAACAUUCAUCUGGGGCUUGGAAGGUCC